rnacentral:rRNA from 1 species
CCUACGGGUGGCUGCAGUGAGGAAUAUUGGUCAAUGGACGCAAGUCUGAACCAGCCAUGCCGCGUGCGGGAAGACGGCCCUAUGGAUUGUAAACCGCUUUUGUAAGGGAGUAAAGGCAGAUACGCGUAUCUUUCUGAGAGUAUCUGACGAAUAAGGAUCGGCUAACUCCGUGCCAGCAGCCGCGGUAAUACGGAGGAUUCGAGCGUUAUCCGGUUUUAUUGGGUUUAAAGGGUGCGUAGGCGGACGGUAAAGUUAGCGGUAAAAUCCCGGGGCUCAACUCCGACGUGCCGUUGAAACUGUCGGUCUUGAGAGAGCGAGAAGUAUGCGGAAUGCGUGGUGUAGCGGUGAAAUGCUUAGAUAUCACGCAGAACUCCGAUUGCGAAGGCAGCAUACCGGCGCUCAACUGACGUUGAUGCACGAAAGCGUGGGUAGCGAACAGGAUUAGAUACCCUAGUAGUC